rnacentral:rRNA from 1 species
UACGGAGGGUGCGAGCGUUGUCCGGAAUCAUUGGGCGUAAAGGGCGCGUAGGUGGCGGGACAAGCGUGCGGUGAAAGCCUGGGGCUCAACCCCGGGUCGGCCGUGCGAACUGUUUUGCUUGAGCACUGUAGAGGCAGGCGGAAUUCCGGGUGUAGCGGUGGAAUGCGUAGAGAUCCGGAAGAACACCGGUGGCGAAGGCGGCCUGCUGGGCAGUAGCUGACACUGAGGCGCGACAGCUAGGGGAGCAAACGGG